rnacentral:rRNA from 1 species
GCAUAUCAAUAAGCGGAGGAAAAGAAACCAACAGGGAUUGCCUUAGUAACGGCGAAGUGAAGCGGCAACAGCUCAAAUUUGAAAUCUGGUUACUUCGUAGCCCGAGUUGUAAUUUGUAGAGGAUGCUUUUGGUGAGGUGCUUUCUGAGUUCCCUGGAACGGGACGCCAAAGAGGGUGAGAGCCCCGUACAGUUAGAUACCAAUCCUUUGUAUAGCUCCUUCGACGAGUCGAGUAGUUUGGGAAUGCUGCUCUAAAUGGGAGGUAUAUCUCUUCUAAAGCUAAAUAUAGGCUAGAGACCGAUAGCGCACAAGUAGAGUGAUCGAAAGAUGAAAAGCACUUUGAAAAGAGAGUUAAACAGCACGUGAAAUUGUUGAAAGGGAAGCGCCUAUGACCAGACUUGUUUCUAUCAGUUUUGGUAGUUUUCGGACUGCUUUACUCUGUUAGUACAGGCCAACAUCAGUUUGUUGUCGGGGAGAAAGGUUUAGGGAAUGUGGCUCUUUCGGGAGUGUUAUAGCCCUUUACAUAAUACCCUUCGGCAGACUGAGGACCGCGCUUCGGCAAGGAUGUUGGCGUAAUGGUCAUCAGCGACCCGUCUUGAAACACGGACCAAGGAGUCAACCUUAUAUGCGAGUGUUUGGGUGUUAAACCCCAGCGCGUAAUGAACGUGAACGUAGGUGAGAGCUUCGGCGCAUCAUCGACCGAUUCUGAUGUUCUCGGAUGGAUUUGAGUAAGAGCAUAUAGGGUUGGACCCGAAAGAAGGUGAACUAUGCUUGUAUAGGGUGAAGCCAGAGGAAACUCUGGUGGAGGCUCGCAGCGGUUCUGACGUGCAAAUCGAUCGUCAAAUAUGAGCAUGGGGGGCGAAAGACUAAUCGAAACCUUCUAGUAGCUGGUUCCAGCCCGAA